rnacentral:misc_RNA from 1 species
AACCUAGCACACCUGCGGUGUGUACCUGCGGAGGGAUCAUUAGCGAGUGUAAAACUCCAAAACCCACUGUGAACAUACCUUUUCUAGUUGCUUCGGCGGGCGGCUCCGGGGGAGCCUCCAGGCCUUUUUUAGGUGCCCGCCGACAGCGCCUCAAAACUCUUAUUCUCUUAGCGAGCUUCGGCUUCUGAGUGUAUAAUACAAACAAGUAAAAACUUUUAACAACGGAUCUCAGAUCGGAAG